CAAACGUGCUUACUCUUUCUCACACUUCUAUAAAUCCUUAGCAAAAGAGUGUUGCAACUAAACACCAACAAUAAAAACAUUCAUAGAUGUCUCAUGUAGCACUUUCUAAAGUGUCACAGCAGGGAAAAGGCUCUACCGGUGGUGACAACCUUCUGUAGCCCUACCCACCAAAUGGAGCUCCAAAAGUACCAUAGGACUUCCGAACCCUCCGUCUCUAUCACCCUUUCUGAGCUCAUAAAACGCGUCGAAGAUGCUCAAAGUGACCAUUCCAAUGGCAGCACUCCUAUCCGUCAUCAUGCCCUGGAGCUUGGCUAUGCUUGUAGCUCUGUGUCCCCUUCAAACCCUUUUGUUCUUUCUUUUAAUAACUUAUCAUACAGUGUCAAAGUUGGCCAAAAAUUGACUUUUCCAUUCUGUGGAAACGAUUCAGAUGACUCUCCUGAGACUGGCAUCAAGGUUUUAUUGAAUGAUAUAUCUGGAGAAGCCAGGGAAGGGGAAAUCAUGGCCGUUCUUGGGGCUAGUGGAUCAGGUAAAUCAACGUUGAUCGAUGCACUUGCAGACCGGAUUUCGAAAGAAAGCUUGAAAGGGUCUGUGAGUUUGAACGGUGAGGUCUUGGAGUCAAGGCUUUUGAAAGUUAUAUCUGCUUAUGUUAUGCAAGAUGAUCUCUUGUUUCCGAUGUUAACCAUUGAAGAGACGCUAAUGUUCUCUGCUGAGUUCAGGCUUCCUCGCUCCCUCUCCAAGUCCAAAAAGAAAGCCAGAGUUGAGGCCUUGAUCGAUCAAUUAGGCCUACGCAGCGCUGCGAAGACUGUGAUUGGAGAUGAAGGGCACAGAGGCGUUUCUGGAGGUGAAAGAAGGCGAGUCUCUAUUGGGAUUGACAUAGUUCACGACCCAAUUCUUUUGUUUCUUGAUGAGCCAACCUCUGGACUCGACUCCACCAGUGCUUUUAUGGUUGUUAAGGUGUUGCAGCGAAUUGCCCGAAGUGGUAGCAUUGUGAUCAUGUCCAUCCACCAGCCCAGUUACCGAAUCCUGAGCUUACUUGACCGUUUGAUCUUCCUUUCACAUGGUCAAACGGUGUACGCUGGCCCACCAGGUAGUCUUCCAGAAUUCUUCGCAGAGUUUGGGCAUCCAAUCCCAGAGAAUGAAAACCGAACUGAGUUUGCUCUGGACUUGAUUCGAGAGCUUGAAGAAAUUCCAGACGGAACCAGGACAUUAGUUGAAUUCAACAGGUCAUGGCAAGCACAGGGCAAAAAGAAUCCAAGAAAUCGUAUCAGCAAUUCAUCAAACCUUUCCCUUAAAGAUGCAAUAAGCGCAAGCAUUUCCAAAGGGAAACUUGUCUCUGGCGCCACGAAUGAUUCCAACUUGUCAUCUUCAGUCCCAACAUUUGCCAAUCCAUUUUGGAUUGAAAUGUUAGUGAUAGCUAAAAGAUCACUCACAAACUCUAGAAGAAUGCCUGAAUUGUUUGGAAUUCGCUUCGGUGCUGUUUUCAUUACAGGUGUGAUAUUGGCUACAAUUUUUUGGCAUCUGGACAACUCUCCAAGAGGUGCCCAAGAAAGAUUGGGCUUUUUCGCUUUUGCCAUGUCCACAACUUACUAUACAUGUGCGGAAUCCAUCCCUGCCUUUCUCCAGGAACGUUACAUUUUCAUGAGAGAAACUGCCUACAAUGCUUAUCGCCGUUCUUCCUACGUUCUUGCUCACUCCCUAAUUUCCAUUCCUUCUCUAAUUAUACUCUCUAUUGCCUUCGCAGCUACGACCUACUGGACAGUAGGGCUUGCGGGUGGAGCUUCUGGGUUCUUUUUCUUCUUCUUCACAAUCUUAUCUGCAUUCUGGGCAGGAAGUUCAUUCGUUACAUUCCUCUCAGGCAUCGUCUCUCACGUAAUGCUAGGUUUCACAAUUGUUGUUGCCAUUUUGGCUUACUUCCUUCUCUUCAGUGGAUUCUUCAUUUCUCGGGAUCGAAUUCCUCCCUACUGGAUAUGGUUUCACUAUCUCUCUCUGGUGAAAUAUCCAUAUGAAGGAGCUCUACAAAAUGAGUUCCAGGAUCCCACAAAAUGCUUUGUAAGGGGCGUGCAAAUGUUUGAUAACACACCGCUGAGCGCUGUGCCUGUGGCGCUGAAACUCAAAUUGUUGCAGAGCCUGAGCAACACCUUGGGCAGGAACGUAACAGGCAGCACUUGUAUAGUCACUGGACCAGAUAUACUAAGGGGACAAGGUAUUACAGAUAUAAGCAAAUGGAGUUGUUUAUGGAUCACCAUUGCUUGGGGAUUUUUCUUUAGGGUCUUGUUUUACUUUACUUUGUUGUUGGGAAGCAAGAACAAGAGGAGGUGA
rnacentral:misc_RNA from 1 species